rnacentral:snRNA from 1 species
GUGCUCGCUUUGGCAGCACAUAUACUAAAUUUGGAAUGAUACAGAGAAGAUCAGCAUGGCCCCUGUGCAAGGAUGACAUGCAAAUUCAUGACGCGUUCCAUAUUUUU